rnacentral:rRNA from 1 species
GACGAACGCUGGCGGCGUGCUUAACACAUGCAAGUCGAGCGGUAAGGCCCUUUCGGGGGUACGACGAGCGGCGAACGGGUGAGUAACACGUGGGUGACCUGCCCUCAGCUCUGGGAUAAGCCUGGGAAACCGGGUCUAAUACCGGAUAUGACUCCAUGACGCAUGUUGUGGGUGGAAAGCCUUGUGCGGCUGAGGAUGGGCCCGCGGCCUAUCAGCUUGUUGGUGGGGGAUGGCCUACCAAGGCGACGACGGGUAGCCGGCCUGAGAGGGCGACCGGCCACACUGGGACUGAGACACGGCCCAGACUCCUACGGGAGGCAGCAGUGGGGAAUCUUGCGCAAUGGGCGAAAGCCUGACGCAGCGACGCCGCGUGAGGGAUGACGGCCU